AGCCAGAACCAGUUGAGGAGGAGGAGCCAGAGCAAGUUGAGGAGGAAGAGGAGGAGGAGCCAGAGCCAGUGGAGGAGGAGCUGGAGCCAGAGGAAGAGGAGGAGCCAGAGCCAGUGGAGGAGCAAACAAAUGAAUUUGAUACUGCGGCUGAAGAUUCAGAAGCUCCUGAAGCAGCUGAAGUUGAAUAUGAGGCUGAACCUGACCACGAAAAAGCAGAUGCUCGAGAUGAGUCUGCGUAUGUGGAAGACGAAAUAUAUUCUGAAAGAGAAGAGACAUUAGGUAAGGCUUGCUCUUGUUAUGAUGUCCAACUCU